AAUCGAAAACAGAGUUAUGCACCUAACUGGAAUUUCCUCUUGAUAAGGAACGUUUUUCAAAAGAGUGGUAUGUGCCAUAAAAUAUUUCGUUUAACAAAAUAUCAAUUUGAAAAUAUCUGAGGGCUCUGGAUCUCACAUAGAUUAUUAAGCAAAACAGUCGCAAGUCAUAUGACACUAUUAGUGUAUCGUUACCGGCCCUAUUGUCCGAGCAAAAAACGUGUUAUGACACUUGACACGUUAUUGCGUAUCUAACUUCAAAUUAAACCGUUGGUGCCUUUCGGACAGUGUCAAGUGCAGCUCUGUGUUUUUUCGUGUUUUUAAUCAGCACAUUGUGAUUCCUGACAAAAGAAGUGUAAAAACAGUUUCUAUGUGGAUUACUGAUAUGAAAAUAAGUGGACGUUUCCAAGAAUGUUCUCGAGAGGAAAAAAUCGCGUUAAAUUAUGCAAAGCGCCUGAUGCCAAUCCUGCAAAAAGGACCGGACAAAAGCUAUUCAGUAGAAUGUUGUUAAGAGGAAAAAAUCUCGUUAAAUUAUGCGAAGCACCUGAUGCCAAUUCAAGCAGCCAACAAUCACCGGGUUUGCCUCAGACUAGCACAGCUUCAACUCCAAUAACUACCCAUGCCUCUGAUACGCCCCAAUUCAGUGCUCCAUCUCCAAGAAUUACACAUUCAUCUGAUUCGUCAAUCACAAGAGAAGCAUCACCAAUCAUUGGACAAACAUCAUCUACUAGUCAUGAGCCAAUUAAUAACUUAAAUUCUGCAACCAAAACAGUGGACAUAAUUCUACCAGUAGAUGACAAAGAGUUGUUGGAUGCAGUUAAUUCCAUAACAGCCAGCGUACCGUAUAACGAUCAUCACAGGGAUCUUACUCUAAAUGCAAAUUCUAUUGAAGAUGCUAACGUAUUACCAUCCGAUAUUUUGCUUGAAGAAAACGCUAGAACUCCUUCCAUGGAACAAUGCGAAGAUAUGUUCGGAAAGAACAAUCUAUCGCCACGAAUCGCACAAUCACCCGUUGAAUCUGCUACAACCACAACACAACCUGAAAUAAUUCAAAAUAACAUGCCUCCUGAGAAUAUUCAAUCUACAUACGUGCUCCAGAAUAUUA